GUGGGGAAUCUUAGACAAUGGGGGAAACCCUGAUCUAGCCAUGCCGCGUGAUCGAUGAAGGCCUUAGGGUUGUAAAGAUCUUUCAGGUGGGAAGAUAAUGACUGUACCACCAGAAGAAGCCCCGGCUAACUCCGUGCCAGCAGCCGCGGUAAUACGGAGGGGGCUAGCGUUGUUCGGAAUUACUGGGCGUAAAGCGCACGUAGGCGGAUUGGAAAGUUGGGGGUGAAAUCCCGGGGCUCAACCCCGGAACUGCCUUCAAAACUCCCAGUCUUGAGUUCGAGAGAGGUGAGUGGAAUUCCGAGUGUAGAGGUGAAAUUCGUAGAUAUUCGGAGGAACACCAGUGGCGAAGGCGGCUCACUGGCUCGAUACUGACGCUGAGGUGCGAAAGCGUGGGGAGCAAACAGGAUUAGAUACCCGAGUAGUCC
rnacentral:rRNA from 1 species